rnacentral:tRNA from 1 species
UCCCUUGUGGCCUAGCUGGUAAAGAAUCCGCCUGCAAUGCGGGAGACCUGGGUUCGAUCCCUGGGUGGGGAA